rnacentral:miRNA from 23 species
AAAUCUCUGCAGGCAAAUGUGA